AGGCACCCUAUGACUGCAACUGCAUGAGGACUCUUAACACAAACCACCCAGCUGAGCCCAGUCAAUACAAAACAUAACCAGGAGAAAUAAUCAUAAGUUGUUUCUUCAAGCCACUAAGUUUUGGAGUAGAAUGUUUAACUGAAACAGCUCUUCACAGACCUGCAGGCACCUGAACCCCCUGGUUCUCCUGCCUGAGACCCUACACUUUGAACAGCUUCAUCUUCUUCCUAGUGUGGCCUUCUCUCUCAUCCUGUCCCUUGGUAUCAUCAUUCCCUACUUUCUGCUGUUAAUAAGCCCAGGGUCACUCUCAAUUUAAGGCUUUUCCUACAGGUUCCCUACAGGGACGAAGAUGAGACAACAGAGCGACAAACACAGGAAAGUGACUUCAGGCCAAUGGACAAAAUGAUGCCAUUCAGAGGAAGGACUCUGCCAGUGAGCUUUCUGGCUCCAACAUCUGUGAAAGAGCCACAGCUCCCAGGGCUUAUCAGCCACUUUCAGUGUGAGCAUGCCUGUCAAACAUCCCAGGCACAGGAGGCGCUAGGCUGAAAGGAGUGACAAGAUGCGGGAGUGGAAGGACCGUGACCCUGGGGACCCCAAAUGGAGCAAAUGGCUUCCUAAAGCCCCAGCUUUUGCAUCUGUAAUGAGCAGUGACAGCUCCCACCUCAUGAGAAUGCCGUGGGGUUAAUGAAGCUGGGUGACCAGCUAUUCCAGUUUGAGUGUCCCAGAAAACUCCUCCAUUGUUGACAAACUGAGAAGCUGACUCUCCCACUGGAGGCACCAGGUACAAGGUAGGUGCUCAGGAAUUAUUUCCCUCCCUCUUGACUCACACUUCUCUUCUGAGAGUGAAAGUUGGAGUAUUCUUCAAGCAAGAAGCUGAGACAGCCCUUCACGUACCCUGGGGAGGGGAAGAGAGCAGGGCCUUUGGAUUUAGAGGUCCCUCUGGAGCCUGGAAUAGACAGACUUGCAUUUCAGAGGAAACUUCCCAUGGCAUCGCCCCAGGAUCAUCAAAAGGAAUCAGCUUCUGGCACUAGCUGUGUCUCUGAGAAAAUGUCUGGAUUCCUUUGGAAGGUGCCAGGGAGCAGUGAGGGAUCAUGGGCGUGGGACUCUAACUGCAUCGCCAUCUCAGCUGCUGGCCCCACAUGCUCCAAGCCCACCUUUCUGCCACUUGCAGCCAAGUGCAGCACCAGAACCCACACCCACCCUCUGUGUGGCCACAGCCCCGGGUGUCCAUGAAGCCAGAAUGUCUUUGGAAAAUGGGAACCUUUGGGAAGUACACAGUCAUUGUCUAGAAGUCCAGUGGCUGUUCUGACAGGCAUCUCCCCAUUAGAUAAAUUCCCCCAUUGAGCGACUGACUUUUGGUGGAGUUAACCACCUGUGUUCCAUGAAAGGAGAGUAAGCCUGUCCCUUUCCAGAAAUGCAGAAACCUAAGGAGUUGAGAUCUCGGCUUCCAUGGAGGAAAUGCCUCAGGGGCAGCUGAGGGAGGGCCAUUACCAUUUGCAGUUGAGAAGGUCUGGAAGCCCCGCCACACAUGCAAAGCCCUGCCAUGGAAAUCUUGAGUGUCCCUGAACAACCACAACCAGUGGGGGGCUUCUUUGUGUCUGUGAGAAUGUUAUAACCUAUUGAGGCUCUCUUUUGCUGCCAGAAGUUCAGGGUGAACUCCGGGGCUCAAUUAUAGCAUCUAUGUUGGUCUUUGCAGUGGAUGGAUAUGUGUCUUAUUUACCUAGCCUUGCUUCUCCACUUUUACUUUCUGUUUUCCUUGGUCUGGUUUGUUAUUUUUGUGGCAUCAUAAUGGACAUGUCUUUGUUAGAAGAUGGUGGGGAGUAGAAGAAAGCCAUACUUUCUCAUCUCUGAAAUGCUCAAUUAUGGUGGGUGUUGCUUGUGCCCAAACAAGCUUGUUGUUCUAAGUCCUGCACUGGAGAAACCCAGUUCUACCAGCAUCCAGGGUACUGGGAGCAUCAAACCUCA
rnacentral:lncRNA from 1 species